GGUUAUUUAACCUAGUUAAGUGUGUGUGUGGUUAGAAGUACUAAAUGACUAAAGUUGUACCCAUUUGUGCUUUAGUGGCUAACACAAGGGACUAAAUGUGGGUUAAUAAGAAAGUUGAGUUAAUAUAUGUAAAAUAAACACACAAAUACACACACACGUACGUGUGUUCGAGAAGGAGCCAGGAACUCCUUGAAGGUUCAUAAACCCUAAUCAUGAAGAUCACCAAAUUGAGGGGUUAAUUGUAGCUCAAAUUCAAGAAGGAACAUGGACUAAUGAUCACCUAAGUAUUUCCUACACCAAAAUUGGAAUCACACGAGCAUGGGCCAAGCACGAAGGCUAACGGGUCAAGAUGAGGCAAGGAAGCGGUUACGAGCACGGAUGCACAAGGUACUACACGGACUUCUUCUGUUGCUAAGGAAGUGAAGCGGACGUAGAUCGAGUC
rnacentral:lncRNA from 1 species